CGUGAUUUGCAAUUUUGUAAAAGGCUCCUUGUGUUUGCACAGAAUAUCGCAUAUGUCCUCUGACCGCCUGACAUUCCAUUGUGUUUCUUACGUAUAACCCCUCGUAUUCUAGAAAAAUAUAACGCGAAGAAGAGAAAAUUCCAUUUCUAAGGCUAGCGCUGUAAACACGAAAACCAUAGGGGGUUUUCUACAAAACAUACCCUCCCCAUUUCCCUCACCUCAGUGCCGCCGCCACACUCGCCCAGCGGCGGAUCCGGCCGCGCACGGACGCCGCGCCAUCGCCGCCCGUCAGAGCCAGCGGGGAGAGGCUGGCCGUGCGAAGGAAGGAAGGAUGGGGAGGGAAGGCAGGGGGUGGGGCAGUGGUGGUGAUGCCGCCGCCGCCACACCCGCCAUGACCUCCCCAUCUACUCCGUCCGUGCUCUUCCCAGCGCCGCCGUCCGCCUCCCCCCUCCACGGCUGUGUGCCAUCUCCUGCCGCCGCCGUGCGCCAUCCUCCCGCCGUUGCCGCCUCCCCCUAUCGUCACAUCGCCGGGCGCCGCCCUCCUCGCCGGCGGAUCCGUCCUCCGCUGGCGGCCGCGUGCACCGGCCGUCGUCCACCGUGCGGAUGGCGCUGCGGGAGGACGGGCCAUCCGUGGCCAUCGUGGGCGCAACGAGCGUUGUCGGCCAGGACUUCCUCCGCGUGCCGUCCGCCCGCCCCCAGUCGCUGCCGUCGUCGUCCACCCUCCAUCCGCCGCCGCCUACCUCGUCCGCCCUCCCCCCGCUCUCCUCUACGGCGAGACGUCCGCGCUGCUCGACGCGUGGCGCCUCCUCCGCACCGCAGACUGGCGCGCCUGCGCGGCCGCCGUCACCGUCCGCCGCGCCGCCGCUGGGCGCGCGCCGCGCACCGUCGACCAGUGCAAGAAUCGCUUGGAUUACCUCAAGAAGCGCCUCAAGGCCGAGCGCUCCAGGUCCAAGGGGACCCCGGCCCCGCCGCCACCGCCUCCCUCGGUCGACCGCCUCCGUGCGCUCCUCCGCCUCGCCCCCUCCAUUCUCCCUGGAUUCACUCCCCGGGGCGGCGCCAUACCAAAGGUGGGAGAGGAUGCCCCGUUCCUGGCCGUCGGUGCUGAAGCGGCCGAGGACGGCGGUGGCGUUGCUACCGUUGAGCUCCUCCACGGGGCAUCAGCACGGAGACGGAAGGACAUCGUGCACGGAGGUGGCGGCGGCGCUGGAUAGGCUCGCCGGAACAUACGAGCGGGUGGAGGUGGCGAAGCAGGAGGUGACGCGGCUGGAGGAGCGACGCCUGGAGGCCAUGCCCGACCUCGAGAUCGAGCGCAUGCGGAUUCUCGUCCGCGUCGCCAUCUCCGCCUCCGCCGUGGCCGACGCCGCCACUGCCACGGCGGCGUCCUCUAAUUGAGGAACUAGGACAGUAGACUGGCCAUGGUAGCCAUCCAGAUUCCAGUCUACUUUUUUCAAGAGACAAUUGUAGUGUGGAGAAGGCAAUUGACGUGAUGCCCCGGCCAAAAUUUACAUCGGUUUAGAUUACAGGGAAAGGUUAGCCAGAUAUAAGACAAUACAUGGUGAGAUUUUUUUUUUCUUUUUAGUUCACUGAUAGCAGGUUAGCAGCAAUGCAAGAUGAGAGACUUGAUUUCCUGAACUGAACAUAUCAUCUGAUUUAGAGUCAGUUAAUGGUUAGCUAUUGCUGUAAUCCCCUCUUGUAUUGAAUACAACAGCAUGCCCCAAAGCAUAAGCAAGCCGCUCUGAAAAGGGCAAACUGCAAGCGUUCUGCAAUGCCUCCAAAACCAGAAUCUGCAUAUCCAAAUGGUGCCCAGACCAAGCCACCAGUUAGGUUGACAACUGGUGCACUCCUCUGACCAUAACUGAACUCGAGUAGAUGAUAUCAUGAUAUUGCUGAUUAAAAACAGUGGCACUCUCAAUUGUGGCUAGGAACAAUAAAGGUUGGCGGAUGGGAGCAGGACCACUGGAUGUGUUUCGUGUGGACUCCGGCCCCACGCUCGCCCUCCCUCCUGCACUUUCCUCUCCUCCUCUCCUCUCUGGCGGCAGAAACAGCUCAGGAUGGCGCGGCUCGAGGCGACGACAGUAGAGCGGUGGGGCUGCACGCGUCUACAAGUUAUGAAAUGGCCGUAUCUUUUUUUAAGGAAAGCAAGAAAGGUCCAUUCAAAGAAACAAAAUAUCAUUUUCAUGCUAAUUAGAGUUUAUGUUUUUGGGGAGUUUAAUUAUUUAUUUUCAAUAGCAAUGUUAAAUCAUAGUUGGAUGUGCAACAUGUAGGCGAGGUAUCGUGAGUCUUGUGGUAGAUACAUAUAUAUUUAAGGGUUAAUUUAAUACAUGCCAUUAAAAAUUUGCCGGUUUCAAAAUAUACCACUAACAUUCAUAUAUUUGGAAAUAUACCAUUAUAAUUUUACACAUUCAAAAGAUACCACAACUUACUCCUUGGAUACAUUUCCAAAAAAAAAAAAAA